UGGAAGUCAAUGGGCCUUCUACUUUUCACUGUAAGCAAAAAAAAGCCUAUACCUGCAAUGUACAGUUUAUAUAAUUACAAUUUAUAUAGAGGCUGAUGAUGCUUUUUACAUUUUCUUUCUUAUUCAGGCUUCUCAGGCUCUUAAGCAGGUGUUUGUGCAUGAUGGCUCUUAUUCCUGCCAUCAGAUGAGCCACUUGUGUAGCGGGUGUUCUGCUGAGGUCUGCUUGAUGUCCUGCUCAGAGGCUGAUGAUGCUGGAAUCAUGCAUGAACAAGAGAGAUCAGAGAGACAGGUGGAGAGCCGAGAUGAAGCUGGUAUCUAGAGAUAAGAAGGCAGAUACAGAACACUGAUGAUUACUGUCUUUAAGGGCAGAUUAAAGGGCAUCGUUAAUCAUCUCAUCACCAUGGCUCCAGCAGAGAUAUCAUCACUGUAUCUUCAGUCUCACUCUGGAUCGCUGCCAGAUGUUAGCUUGCCUAAAAUCAAGAAAUCGAAUGCCACAAAAACAUUCAAAAAAAAAACACACUUGUCCAUGGGGAACUCCAUAUGCCACAGAAUCAAUCGAACCACCAGUAUGACUGCCCCAUUUAUCUUCAAACAUAACGAUGGUUGGAGGAAAGAAAGUAGUCCAGUUGGAUUGAAAUUGUACCCCCCUCCUCCCUCCUUCCUAUGUUAG
rnacentral:lncRNA from 12 species